rnacentral:rRNA from 1 species
AUUGAACGCUGGCGGCAGGCCUAACACAUGCAAGUCGAACGAGUGGCGGACGGGUGAGUAAUGUCUGGGGAACUGCCCGAUGGAGGGGGAUAACUACUGGAAACGGUGGCUAAUACCGCAUACCAUCGGAUGUGCCCAUAUGGGAUUAGCUUGUAGGUAAGGUAAUGGCUUACCUAGGCGACGAUCCCUAGCUGGUCUGAGAGGAUGAUCAGCCACACUGGAACUGAGACACGGCCCAGACUCCUACGGGAGGCAGCAGUGGGGAAUAUUGCACAAUGGGCGCAAGCCUGAUGCAGCCAUGCCGCGUGUAUGAAGAAGGCCUUAGGGUUGUAAAGUACUUUCAGUGGGGAGGCGUUACCCGCAGAAGAAGCACCGGCUAACUCCGUGCCAGCAGCCGCGGUAAUUC